AGCUCGACGCCUCUCUGCCGCCGCUUCCAGUCCCCGGUCCUGCUAGCGACACCGACCCCGGGAACGCGCGAGCAGUACGAACGGGAUUAAUUUCGAAACCAAAGUGACAGUGAGAGAAGAAGGUCGUCCAGCCGGAGGUGUGGGCUGCUUUGCUCCUCGGAAAGAAAGGAAAAAGGAGAAAAGGGCUUCGGAAAACGAGCUGCAAUGACCCACACGUGCAAGGUUUAGGGACGUAAUGAUUUGAAUGUCAAUUCUAAACUUUUAAGGCGGAUAGGAGGAGGAAAUGGAAGGAGAGGAAAUGCGUAAGAUGCGCGAUUGAAACAGACGUACAAAUGCAUAGAAGAAAAUCAAAGAAAAGAAAAUAUUUGUGCACGCACAUGGUAAUUAUUUCACUUUUUUGAGUGAGUGGUAGAAGUAAUUUUGCUGAAUUUAGUGGAAUUUUGACCAAUUGUACCAUGUGAUGUUUACAAUGGUGCAACAGUUGCUUAAGUUUUAGUAGUAGUAUUGGAAGUUGCUCUGCUCCAUGAAAGACCUUUGCUGAUAAGUUAAACUUCAGAAUUGGAAGUAAGAAGCUUAUUUUUAUCAUAUUGUUAGUUUGAGAGAUAUCUUUAUAUUUCUGUGAUCCAACACUGAUGCAUGUAAAUCUGGGAAGGUUGAUCAAACUAAUUAGAGUUUAUGAUUAAUCUCUCUACCACCACCAUGGUGUGCCAGUGGGCAAAUUGUCACACACAAAGUUCCAUGCACAUUGCUGUUACAAAGCAUGCACAAACCUGCCAUUUCUGCCUGCAUACUGGUAACCUACAGCCUUGCUUUAUUAGUGUGUGUUGAAGGUUUGGCUGUUGAAUAAAACUUUCUUCAAAUGUCAUACUUGAUAGAUGAGGCACAUAUUAGAUAUUACAUAGAUGAUGCACAUAUUAGAUAUUACGUUAUGUAAAUGAUCUUUAUGUAAAAAAAAGUUUAUAACAGCACGGCAUGCAUGUCUGAAGGAAGACAUUAAUCCCAAGGCACAAACUAUCACAAUGAUCGACACAUGAACAAAACAACCUUCCUAAUUCAGCAAUUUUGCCCCCUGGACCCCUACUGAUUGCUGUAUUUCCUUACCUGGUAUAUAUAUUAACCACCUUUAAACUUCUUCAAAAUUAAGUUAUGGUGAGAUAAUUAAAUGUUUAUUAUAGACAAACCAUGUGAGUGCACAAUUUUUUUCACCUUCAUGCUGUCAAUCACAUUUAGAAUGAAUAUAUAAUUUCCUCUAAAUUAGAGCAUAUGUUGAUCUUCUUGAGUUUAACUGAAAAGAUUAUCCAUACACAAGUUUCUAUAUCUGAAGAGCAUUGCAAGUGAGGACAGGUAGUCAGGUCUCAGUAGAUAUUAAACCUUGUAGGUAAUGAUACCAUUUUUACGAGAGUAUGUAUUCCAAGGUCACAACCAUAUUCCAUUUCCAUGGGAAAAUAAUUAGUUGUAGAAUAAUUUUUGUUGGAAAUACAAAACUUAUGUAAUUAGUACAGUUUUAUAUUAUUAAGAUAUAUUUGAUAUUUCUUGUCAUGUUAUGAACUAUACAUGUGUACACAUGAAUAUGUCAGGGU